rnacentral:rRNA from 1 species
ACAAAUCCACUAUUGGUUUUACGUCAAGCAAUACGUAGAGUAACUCCCAAUAUAGGAGUAAAAACAAGACGUAAUAAAAAAGGAUCGACGCGGAAAGUUCCGAUUGAAAUAGGAUCUAAACAAGGAAGAGCACUUGCCAAAAGGAAAAACAUCAAUUUUCUGUUCUGGUCAUAA